rnacentral:rRNA from 1 species
GAUGAACGCUGGCGGCGUGCCUAAUACAUGCAAGUCGAGCGAACAGACGAGGAGCUUGCUCCUCUGACGUUAGCGGCGGACGGGUGAGUAACACGUGGAUAACCUACCUAUAAGACUGGGAUAACUUCGGGAAACCGGAGCUAAUACCGGAUAAUAUAUUUAACCGCAUGGUUCAAUAGUGAAAGACGGUUUUGCUUUCACUUAUAGAUGGAUCCGCGCCUCUUUAGUUAGUUGGUAAGGUAACGGCUUACCAAGGCGACGAUGCGUAGCCGACCUGAGAGGGUAAUCGGCCACACUGGAACUGAGAAACGGUCCAGACUCCUACGGGAGGCAGAAGUAGGGAAUCUUCCGCAAUGGGCGAAAGCCUGACGGAGAAACGCCGCGUGAGUGAUGAAGGUCUUCGGAUCGUAAAACUCUGUUAUUAGGGAAGAACAAAUGUGUAAGUAACUAUGCACGUCUUGACGGUACCUAAUCAGAAAGCCACGGCUAACUACGUG